rnacentral:lncRNA from 10 species
GUGCUCGCUGAAGAUACAACUGUUAGUCCAAGGGAAACCUACUCCCCAUCGCGCUGGGUGUUUUGGAGUUUUUAAAAGCGUCGCGGGGUAAAGUCAGUGUUGUGCUUUUCCUUUUCUCAGCAGGGGUGACCCUGGAGAUCAUUACCAAAAUUUAAAAAUUUCACCACUGGGCACACAUGUUACCCUUCUCGUGAUGGCAUGGCAAAGCUUGAUUUGCAAGAGUUUCUUUUGGAUUGUCCCCAAUGAUUCCCUUUAAAAAUAGGAGCUCCUUCAAGCUCCUGUAUCAGCAGUGCUUGCACCUCAUAGGUGAUGAUCAUGAGGGGGACAAGGAGCCUCUAGACUUAAGAGACAAGUUGCCAGCAUUCUCCAGAUGGAGUGUUUCCCUCCGCAGCACCCCCUGCUGGUCAGUUUGACAAGCAGGUGAACAGAAGUUCUCAAAUACACAAUAGUAGAUUCUAUCAAUCAAGUUUCAUAAAGAGUUCUGAUUCCCAGAGAUAGCAGAUUCUGUCAACCACAUUUCAUAAAGAGUUCUGAUUCUAAGAGAGCCAUACACCUGAAGGAGGGAUGGAAAGACUAGGAGAGCCUGGGAUCCUCAGAGAUGGAGAUCUGGAUGUGAAGAGAAAGAGAAAAACAAAAGUCAACAGACAGUACUGUGACCAAGUCAGUGAUGGUGAGAUCAGCAGCAUCUCUAGGACCCUUCUGAUUGACAUGAAGUCACCAUCAAGUAGGCAGAACUCACAGGACUUAUGGAGCAAGGAUGACUGACACAAACACAAAAAUCAUUCUGCCUGUUGAAUGAAUCAUAAAAUACUGUCUUUGAUCCAGGAGGCUUGUGUCAUCUGCCAGCAUUUAUGAAACUGUGCUCCAAGUAGGCCUUUGUGUUUUUAUUUCAGAUGUGCUUUCUUAUGUACUGACUGUGAUCCCCAAAUUCAUAUGUUGAAGUCCCAACUCCAAAUGUAUUUGGAGGUGGGCCUUUCAGACGUAAUUGAGUUUAGAUGACGUCAUGAGGGUGGAGCCCCCAUGAUGACACUAAGUCCUUCUAAGAAAAGGAAGAGAGUCUGAGCCCUCCUCUACACCAUGUGAGGGCACAGAGAGAGAGCAGCCAUCAACAAGCUGAGAGAGGAGGACUGAGAAUGAAACCUACCUCGCCAGAACCUUGUCAUAUCCCUUCCCGGUUUCCAAACGAGUGAGAAAUCAAUUUCUGUUGUGUAAGCUACUCAGUGUAUGAAACUUUGUUAUGGCAGCCAGAGCAGAUUAAUGCAUGCUUCUUGGACUUUGUUUUUAACUCAAUAUGAAAAACAUAUGUUUUAAUAAAAAAAUUACCCCAUUCAUCUGUAUUGUGUUUACUGAUAAUUUUGGACUUAUUUUUGCCAUAUUUAAGAAAUCCUCCUUCCUCUUUCCCAUGCUUUCUUGUGUUUUUUUA